GUGUUAUCAAGUGUUAUCCUUUCUGGUUAUGGUAACUAGUGACAACUCAACACAGUCGGGAAAUGUGAGACUGUGGAUGCCGAUAACAGUUACGGACAAGAUUGUAGAUAACUCAAUUCCAUUUUAGCAACAAUGUCUUCAGAACAGGAUUCCAGUUUUGAUGAGCCGCAGACCAUCCAGGGGCACAAGCAGGACUGCAGAAAGAAUUGGACAGGAAGACCUUGAAAGGCCUGCCCGAAUGCAAGAAGACAGGCUGGCCGAGAUGUUUAGUAAAAAUCUUUCGCCUAUGGUACUGCAGUCUCAUUUCAUGUAGCUUUUUCCCCUUAUCAUUACAGGCUAAAUUGCAAGAGCUGUCCUUUUGAAAAAAGGGUAGAGGUGCUGAGGCUGGCUGCUUCCCUGGACUGAUUUGUGACAUCAUGGAGUAAUGGAGAGCUAUCCCAGGGUCUCCGGGCAACCUUGCUGGUGCACCUGCAUGAAUUGCAGGGAGACUCCUACACCUCACAACUGCUGCCAUUUCACCACUGAAAUAUUCCAUUUAUUUAGGUCAUAUCAGUUCAGUACUUUAUCAGAAUGUUUCCUUUACACUGCUUUUCUUAUUUUGAGGAAGGUUAGAGACAACCUUGUAUUCUUGUUUAUCUCCCUAAUGAAACUGUUUGACCUGAUCUGUGUAAUCGGACCAACUUGUUUUUUUAACUGUAUUUACACCAGGGUAGUCCAUCUGUUUUUCUAGAUAUCUACCCGCCUGCAGGUCUGCUAAUUUCAAGUGUAAACCAUCAAGAGCAUCAUAGAUAUCCAGGAAAAUAUAACAGUUUAGCAAAUCAUUCUGAAACCACUCCAAAAGUACAAUAAUUACAAAUGCCCAGACAAACCUCCCUAAUUAAUAUGAUGUAUAUGUUUGGUUGUAUGCCCACCUCUUUCAACAACAGUUCUAAGUACUCUGUAGGUUUUCACACUUCCCCAGGAACCACCAAGUCCUUCCCAGCUCAAAAGUGUGUGUACUGCACCCUAUGUUGCGUGGUGACAUCAACUCAAAGUUGUAGUAGCAGCUCAGCAGUUGUUGGUGGUGGCACUUAAGGGAGUCUGACCUCAAUAUCAUCUUCCUUGGUAAGCCCAGUCUUCUCAACACAGCUCUCUGAAGUUCUGGGAUGUCGGUGUAGUCCUUUGCAGUUUUCAAUGCGUAUAUCAGGGCUCUCCAACCCUGUUUCUGGAGAGCUACCCUCAUGUAGGUUUUCACUCCAACCCUAAUCAAAUGCACAUGAUUCUAAUAAUUAUCUGGUUGAUAAGCUGAAUCAGGUCAGAUAAAAUGGUUUGGAGUGAAAAACUAAAGGAGGGUAGCUCCUUUAGAAAAAAUAUACAAGUCAAGACUGUUGGGCUGACUGGUUUCAUUAUUGCAAUAAUUAAUCAAUAUUAAAUAAAGAUGAUUGUUUGAAGAAAUGA